GCAGAGAAUGUUAAAGGGCUCCUCAUACCCUCAGAAUAUUCACAUAAUGUUGGUUAGAAUUUUAGUAGAGGAGAAAAAUGACAAUCAAUUCUUUUGAAAGGAGGCUUGAACAUUUAUGACAUCAGAGGCGGGGCCCAUCACCUUUCUACUGAGUUUCUAUGUCUGACUCUUCAGAUGUUCGCCAUCCCUCAUCUCUCACGAAGAGAGAGAGAAUGGCGGUGAGGAGCAGAAGAAGAAGGAGAGACCCAGGCACCCUGUUUUGAGGAUAAUAUUAAUGAAUUUUAGAACUUGAUUAAAAGUUGAGCUGAUUAUAGACUCACUGGCUGUCCCAGUCUGCAGAGUAUGUGACUUAAUUUUUGGGUUAUAAGUUUGAGUCCCACGUUGAGAU
rnacentral:lncRNA from 1 species